UUUAAAUGAUGAUAAACUUUACUUUUCAGUUCUGCUUCUGAACCAAAAUACACAGGAAGAUAACCUUUUUACCAAAGCUCAAUAUCUGACAU
rnacentral:snoRNA from 1 species